rnacentral:tRNA from 2 species
GCCCCGGUGGCGGAAUUGGCAGACGCGCAGGCUUGAGGUGCCUGUGGGCUAAUCACCCUUGCUGGUUCGACCCCAGUCCGGGGCACCA